ensembl:lncRNA
GGAGAACAUUCACUGCCUGGAAGUAGAAGAAAGAUGUGGCAAAAGAAGACUAGAGAGGGCUGACAGAAGGAAGUCCAAGAAAGUCCAAGUGUGAAAACGAUCCUUUGCUGGUUCUGAGAUGUUCGGCGGCCAUGUGCAAUAACCAGGAAGAGGCCUCUAGGAGCUAGGGGCUCCAGGUGACAGCCAGCAAGGAAACAGUCCUACACCUGUGACAAACUGGAUUCUGCCAGCAACCUGAAUGAGCCUGGAAGUGGAUCCAUCCCCAGAGGCCCCAGCCCCUUAGGCUGUUGACACGGAGUGAGCAGAGUGGCCCUUGCCCAAGCAGGGAGGAUGGUCAGAACACAGAACAGGCGUCCUGGAGAGGCAGAAGCUGCAUCAGUCAAGAAUCCAUCAUGAUUUUGCAAGAGGAUUCUAGGGAAAGCCCUCUUGCCUUGCGACUGGUAGAGGCCAACUCGAAUGCCCUAAGGGUUCUUCAUUCUGCCGUGCACCCCUCCUUGUUGUGGAAGUCCAGGUCCAAACUCCAGGGCCCAUCUCGCCUCUUUCUAUCCAAGCCUCUGCCUCGUGUGCCCACCCAGGGUCCUGACUCCCCAAAGCUGGGGUAUGCCUUGCUCUUGCCAUCUUGCCAGAAGCUCGAUUUCUUCCCUGAGCCCCAGACUGAUGGCAGGAGCCUCUUUGUGCUGACCAACCUCCCCACUCUAGUCCCAGCCUCCCAUGGCUGGGAAAUGCGGUUAGCUCCAUCCCAACAGGGUUGCCCCUACUGGGAUGAGCCAAAAGUAGCAGGAAAAGACUCAGGAAUCCUUUAAUCCUCAGAGUAUUAUCAGCAUCCAGAGAUCAUCGCAUUCAACCCCUGCCUCCGUGCAGGAAUGCCCUGCCAUUCACUCUUGCUGGCCUCCUGUCAAUGGCUGACCAUGCUCGUCCUCACUGCCUGAAACUCAGUUUACCCGCACACUUGUCUGUUUGCUCCUGAUCUUGUCUCAUGAGAAAGAAUGGAAAUGUGUCUAUACCCACUCGGGUCAUAUAAACACAGCCACAGUCACCUCCCUUCCUCUUAAAUGACUGGAUUACUUAAGGGCCAGAGAGGGUUCAUGGGCCUGGAAGAUGUGGAGAUUGUGGGUCAAGGCCUUAUUCCUUCUGUGCUCCUGGAGCUGACAGUCAUGGUAAGGAGAGAGGCCAGCCUAGAGAAGACAUCUGAAGGGUACACUUGUCUCUUUCUGGCCACCUGGCUUUAGCCCUUGACCUACGUAGGUGCCCUCAGCCACCUUAGUGCCCUAUACCUGUCAUGGUCCAUACUGGAAAGUCGCUUUCCUCUCUCCCCCGACCCUCUCCUCUCUCCAGCAAGCCUCUGAGCACAGCAACAUUCACUCAAGGGUGAUGAUGAAGUCAGUCAGGUUCCUAACAAAGGUGCAAGGCCAGAGGACCCCCAACUGCAUCAGGAAGUGGAGGGAAGGUGGAACAAGGUCACAUGUUUAGGACAAAAGAACAGCCCUCAGGACCCUGGAGGAAGUGGGGAGAGGGGUGGAGUGGUCUUUGUUCUCAGAAGCUGCUGAGGGAAGUCCAGAUGUUGAGCAGGCUGGACAUCUUCCUUCAUCUCCCAGCAGCUUCAGAGGACUCCUUUAACCUGCCCCACCUCCCCUAGUGUGGGAAGAGCCACCUGUAGGGAGGAGCCCAAAGUUCAAAACCAUGUCUCCUUCAAAAGACUAGGACUUGAGAGAGCCCUGAGGGUGAUAGAGGGGCAGGAAGUCUUCAGGGACCAACAGAGGGGUUCCCGAUUUUCUUCCAAGGCCCCCUGCCCUCUGCUCCUUUGUUCUCACUAGCCUCCCUCUCUUCCCUGGCCCUCCUCACCCCCUGCUCAGCUCUGUUUCCUCUCUGAGUUUGGGGGGCAGGGGAUGCCUCUUGUGGAUCCUUACUCCUUUGGCGACAGGAAGCCGAGAGCCCACAGCUUGAGCUUCAGCUCUUCCCUGUGGCCAUGCCCCCAUUUCACACUUCCAUCGCUUUCUUUGUGCUUCUACUUCCAAGGGAGGGAUGAUCAGCUAAGGAGGAAGUUCUGAGCUAAUGAAGUGUGUAUUGAUUAAGAUUGUGUUAAUAAAAGCAGAAUACAUUAAGGCUGUGUGGUUCCUUCCAGAAGAGCAAUAAGGACAAACACUGGGAAACUCAAUACAACCCACAAUUUUAAUAUGUAAAAUAAAGAGAUGAAUUUUUCCCAACAUGCUUAAUGAGGAGACUUUAGAAGUUGUCCCAUAUUAAAGACAGAUGUCAGCUGUCACCAUUAACUACUACCACUAGUAUUGAACAUUGUUCUGGAAUUAAUUGACAAUGCAAUUGGAUAAAAGAAUAAAAUAAGAAAUAUAAAUAUUGUAAGAAGCAAGCAUA